rnacentral:lncRNA from 1 species
UCUGAUGAUCCGGGGUUCUUUUUCUACGGCCAUCUAUGUCCUGGCUAAAAAUGUGAUAAAAUACAGUGGUGGACUAACUCGACGGAAAAUUCCACUUGAUAUUGACUCGGAAUCAUAGCGCAAUCAUCCCUCUCAGUUUCCGUACGAUGUCACAGACACCUUGUAUUGACAAGUUGGUAAUGUCUGCAAAUACUAGUGGUCUAGUGGUUAGAGCGUUAGGCUCACGAUCUGGAGAUCCGGGUUCGAUUCCCGAUGGGGACAUUGUCGAAAUCACUUUGUGAGACUGUCCUUUGUUUGGUAAGGACUUUUCAGGCUUGAAUCACCUGAUUGUCCGAAAAAGUAAGAUGAUUUUGUGCUUCGGAGGGCACGUUAAGACGUUGGUCCCGGCUAUUAGCCGUAAAAGCACCUCCACCAACCCGCAUUGGAGCAGCGUGGUGGAGUAUGCUCCAUACCCCCUCCGGUUGAUAGAGGGGAGGCCUGUGCCCAGCAGUGGGACGUAUAUAUGGGCCGUUUAUGUUUUUAUGUACAUAUAGAGGUAAGAGUCAGUAGUUACGUCAAAGGUCGACCCUUCAAUAAAAUUAAAUCACAGUUUGCUGAGGUAGUAUCAAUCGUAUGUGUCACGGGUUCGAUUUUAUGAGCAAUAUCCUCACAGUUGGGUUAGACACUCAGUGGCCCCGAUUCCUGCAGACAUCUCUUAAUUUUACUUUAAGUUAUACCUGUCAUUUUCUUAUCCGCCGAAAAGGAAAGGGACGGAUGAUUGACAGCUCUUAAUUUUAGGAAGAAUGAGUAAAUAAAUGAAUAACCCGGGCGAAUUUUUAGACGGUUGUUUUAGAUUUGUGCUUAAAAUUGACGUGUGUUCCAUAAAUUUUAUGCUUGUCGAUUACCCGUCCCUUUCCUUUUCGGUGGAUAAGAAAAUGACAGAUAUAACCUAAAAUAAAAUUAGAUGGUAUUUACAGGAAUUAGCACCAUUGUAACCAUUGUCAACUUGCACAUUUUUUUAAGAACAAGUACAAUGAGCUAUGAAUUUAAUUAAAUUUUAAAUUUGGAACAUCAACAUUUAAGAAAAUACCCACAACUCACCAAGCUUUCUGUUAGAACAACGUGAUAGGUGGUGAGCCGUAUCGCCUCCUAUAAUGGUCGAGCCAACUGUGAUAGUUAAAACUGCACUUGAACUCAUUAGUGCAAGUCCGUUACCGGGGCUCGACCUGGCGCUCCCCGUUCGUAAAAGCCGGUGAACCACAUUCACCACCUUAUGUUAGUGGGUCUUCUUAUAGUGUGGGUUGUGAGGUGGAAUACCAGCCUCGUCAACCCUGGUGUCAGGGUUACUAUUGAGCCGCCAAAGGCCCCUGACAUGGUUCAUGUAACGACUACUUACUUACAUCAGUAAGUAGUAACCGGGACCAACGGCGUAACGUGCCUUCCGAAGCACGGAUCAUGUUACUUUUGGACAAUCAGGUGAUCAGCCUGUAAUGUCCUAACAAACUAGGGAUCACAAAGUGAUUUUUGUGAUAUGUCCCCACCGGGAUUCGAACCCGGGGCCUCCGGAUCGUGAGUCCAACGCUCAACCACUGGACCACAGAGGCCGUUUUAGACGCCCCAUUAUGCGUGCUAUUAGUUGACUACGUAAGCCAACUUACUUUCCAGAAGCUCAGAAGCCUCCUGGGGUAUUGACAGGCUUCGCGGAGCGACUCCAUUAAUUUGAGCAUUUGUACCCGUUCUGAUAAUCUUUACGAAAAAUAAACUUGCAAGAUGUUUCGAUUUUUUUGAUGAGAACUUUAUGUUGAGUGCCGAUCGUUAAAUUGGACCGAUCGAGAUCUGUCUGAGCAAGUCAUGACGUGCCGGCAUUUGUUGAUUUGACCGAUUAUUUCAUGAUAUGCCGAAUAUAAAGUUAGGCAAAUCGAUGGGAGCAACGUAUGUGUCGAUUUGCCCUACUAGUCACUUGGCCUCAUCGGGAUAUGGAUGAAAAUUACGGGCAAAUCAGGAAAUGCCCAUGAUGACUUGCCCAGGCAGACCUCGGUCGGUCCGGUUUAACGAUCGGGUUACGAUAUGUAUAACAAUGAUGUACUAUUAUAAUGGACGAUAGGCUGGUCCCUUGCCAUCAUAAGGAUCAUUAUAUCUCUUAGGGCUUCGUAUCAUAAAAACACGAGUCGCAAGUUGUCUUCUGAUUACUUGUGGCUCUGCUUACCCCAUUAGGGAUGGGGCGUGAGUUUAUGUAUGUACUAAAUGUAUAUCGAUAUUCCGUUUACCCAUACAAAAGUCGCCGUAAUAAUGUCGAAUAACUGAUAGGUAUCUCAGUUAUUAAUUAUUUGUAGGAGGCGUGUCGCGCAGGGGAUGUUGAUCGCUUUGCUGAUAUUAUUAUUUAUCAUAACCGUUACUAUAGGGUACAUAGGCACGUGUCGAUUGUACAACUUGCAAUGUAAAUAACAAAUGAAUUUGGUCGUAGUGCAUAGGGUUAUGAAUGCGUGGUAAUCUUAUGAUAUUCCAAUACAAUGUCCUAGUGCGGACGUAGUUAUUUAGUUUAUUAUAACAACAAUACAAAUUGCUAUCUGGCAUGCAUGUUGUUUACCUCAUCAUUAUUGUCAACGACUUUUUAGGUGGUUUAUAAUGGGGAUUUCCAAGUAAGCAAACUUUUUUGAAUUACUAUUUGGAUUGCCGAAGACUUUGUUUAGUUUAUGUAUCAUAAAGUGCGCAAUAAACAAAAUUUUUAAUGA